AUUAAUUUCAAUCAACAAGGAAUCCCACUACUCUCUCUUCAAUCAAUGUAUCUUAAAUACUGCUUUUGCAAUCUCAUUCGUCCGUGUAUAUAUAGACCCUCUGAAAGAUUGAUUCAAAUCCCUAAUUUCUUACCAACUAAUAACUUACGUUAUUUCUCUAACAACCUGUCAGAUCAUGGCUUCUUCCAAACUUUAUUUUACAGAGUCUAGGCCGUUUGAAAACAAUGCUUCGUCUCUGGGAGGCCAAUAAUGUAAAGAAAGCUGUUGAGCUGAUAGGCAUUGAUAUGGUGCUCAUCGAUUGGAAGGUUCACAGAUCAAACAAUGUUCGUUGACUUAGCAGAAUCUAUCCCCCCCCAUCCCAAUGGAGAGCUUUUGGUUUUGCAAUUAUGACCAACUCAUGCUCUUGGCCACCACGAUCACAUUUUUGCAAGGGUACUAAAGUUUUCAUGGACAGAGAUCAAGUAUGUAUAUCUCUUGGAAAGAAUGUAUUAAUCUGAGUGAAGUGAUACGUUUCGUAUCUUAUUAAUCUUCUUGCGGAAUAUGAUGUCCGAAAUUGGUGCUUUCAAGUCUUUCAAGGCUCUCUUGCAUGAAUCAGCGUGGAUGCUUCCACAGUGAUCUAAGGCCAGAUUUUUUGUCCGCUACAGAAAAUCGGUUAGUCUCUAAAGAUGUCAUUAGUAUCACUGAUCUUGGCCUGGCCCGAGAGGUAAACUCGAGUCCAUCGUAUAAAGCGUAUGUCUCGACAUGCUGAUAUGUGGGCUACAGGCGCUAUUCUGACUAAGAUUACGCCCUCGCUUUCCUAGAACUAGGGUUUUGUCAAAUAUUGUUAUGUGCAAUUUUCCUGAUGUAAUAUUGUUUCAGAUGUAAAGAUAAGCCAGCAAUAUGUCUCUUUAAUAUGUGCAGUGUUAUAUGUAUCGCAACUGAAGAGAAAUGAUUGGAGGGGCUUAAUCGCUUACC